rnacentral:rRNA from 1 species
UACAGAGGGUGCGAGCGUUGUCCGGAAUUACUGGGCGUAAAGAGCUCGUAGGUGGUUUGUCGCGUUGUUCGUGAAAACUCACAGCUCAACUGUGGGCGUGCGGGCGAUACGGGCAGACUGGAGUACUGCAGGGGAGACUGGAAUUCCUGGUGUAGCGGUGGAAUGCGCAGAUAUCAGGAGGAACACCGGUGGCGAAGGCGGGUCUCUGGGCAGUAACUGACGCUGAGGAGCGAAAGCGUGGGGAGCGAACAGG